ACAGGAAGCUAUAUCCAAGUAAGUGAUAUGAAGACGAACUUGUCUAAGGAGGAGAUUUGUUGGUUAUAGACAAGUCUUGCAUCGGUUUAGGUUCAAUUGCUUAGCUUAGAUUAGACUUGGUUUAGAAUGGUUUAAGCUUGUAAUUGAGAAUAAACCGGAUCUCUCUCUCUCUCUUUAGCUAGGAGAUACGCGUGUGUCAUGUACACGUGUUAAGGUUAACUAACUCGAGUUAUAAGAGGCUGUUAGCUGUAGUUAAGAGUUAAUAAGCAGAGCUGAUUAGGAGUUGUUAGAUCAGUUGAUGCGAGAUUAACAAGAGAGAGAGUCCGUGAGAUUGAGCUGUAGAGACGGUGACUCGAGUGUGAGAUCAUUCGUUGAAGAUAGUAGAUUGCUGGUUCAAUCCCAGCUCCGGUGAAGUAUAGCGGCCACACACCUAGUUAACGGUGGUGGUGCGGUGAACACUGGGUAAACAGAUCGACGGUGUGCUCCGUAGAAGAGAAGUUCUAAUCGGUUAAAGAUUGACGCGAUCUUCACACUUCCUAUUAUCAAACUUCAAAAGAAUUCUCAAAACCAAAUUGAUAAAACAAGAUCACGUUCUAAUCCUUUUCUAAGGGAGACGUUUCCAUUUUUUGUUUUUUAGCUAUUUUUGUUUUUUUUUUGUUAGUUUUAAUUCUUGGGCAAUUCUCUUAAAUAGAUCAUUUUCAAGUUUUGAUCACAAAAAUAGAUCACGAAGAAGAAAAUGACCAAAAUAUUUAAUUUAAUAGGUAAAAGGACCCUAAUACACUAGAUAUAUAAAAAUAAAAAAAAUAAUAAUAACAAAAAUAAAAAAAUAAAAAAAUAAUAAAAAAAUUAUAGUUUUCGAUUAUUGUUGUAAACUAAUGGGAGAAAGAGAUUCUAUAUUUCUCAUAAUUAUGAAGGCCUUUAUAUAUAUAGGGAAUUAAAGUAGACCGUCAUAGAUAAAUGGAAAGUAUACAAAUCCUAAAGUGAUUAGGAAAAGAAAAUCCUAAGCAUAUAAGGAAAAGGAAACUGUCUAAUUAGAAAGAAAAUAUGCCUAUUUGGUUAUGGCAUUCACAAAUCGGUUCAUAACACUCCUCCUUGAAUGUUAUAACCAUAAGAGUUCGUAAUACGCUUUGGAUGUUGCCUCAUUAAAACCUUUCCAAGAAAAUCCAGUGGGACAAAACCAUGGAUAAGGAAAAAGAGUACAACACGUAUUACAAAACCAUGGAAGAGUCAAAGCGCCCCCCUUGUUGCAGCAGAGCAAUACUAAUGGAUUGGUUUUCAGCAAAUCGUUCAAUUCCAUUUACGAUACUUCUAUGUACGGUCGAUUGCAGCUCAACAAUGGCCUCACUCGUACUCCUCAAAUGGGAUUAGUUUCUUAUUAGUUCGGGUUUUGAUAUGUAAAAAAAGGAACAACCUUUUUGUCUCUGUCGUGGUGUAAAGUUUAUAACUUUUGAGUGGUGUCUCUCUUAUUAGACUUUGUGUGUGUGUUUUGUUAUAAUCUGACAGAUGGAAUAGCUGGAACUUCUUUGCUUGCAAUAUCAAUGAAACUGUCAUUAAGGAAACUGCUAUUGCUUUGGUCUCCUCUGGCCUGGCUGAUUUUAGGAUACAUACAUGUCAAUAUUGAUGAUUGUUGGUCCAAUUUGUUACGUGAUUCAAAGGGACAAUUGGUUCCACAUCCUGAAACCUUCCCCCAAGGGAUUAAGCUUCUUGCUGAUUAUGUUCAUUCAAAGGGUCUCAAACUCGGUAUAUAUUCUGACGCUGGGUAGAUUCAAGCUUCAUGCACCUUUGGAGGUGGUUUUUACUAUGAAUCGAUGCUAACAAUGAUGUGAAAGUAAUGUUGGAAGUUGGAGGACGAUACUUAUAAAGAUGGUUGUUUGAAAAUGAUGUGAUAGUACAUGAUGAUGGAGGACACAUGCAAGGCCAAAAAGGUUGUGGUUUACCGGUGGUGUCAUUUUAUUACGAAAGUUAUUCAUAGCUUUUUUGCAUGCUUCCUGAUAUCACCAAGAGAAGUCAUUUUUGGUCUUAUGCAUUUGUAUAUUUUUUGUCUCAAACAAUCAAAAUGGAAAUAAUUUUAUUCAUAUAUCCGAGAUUUCUUUCUUAUGGAAAUGCAUUCAAGCAUUUGAAUAACGACAUCCGAGAUUUCUUUCUUAAUAAAACCUAAUAAAAGUUAAAAAUUUACUUCAUCACUACUCAUGUCCUUAUUCAUACGAAUAAGAAUAUUUUGUUGCUCGAACAAGAAAUUUACUUGACCUAGGUAUCUCAUAUGCUCUUAUAAAUAAAUUUUACAUACUCGACAUUCUAUAGAUCAUAUUUCGCCAAAGAUGUUACAAUCUCCACUCUCUAUCUUCUGUAUUAUUAUGUUAUCACUAGGUUAUACAAAUCGAGUAUGAAGGUUGAUUUUUAUCUUUGUCAAAACACAGUAUUCUUGAAGCAAUGGAAAGCAUGAAGAAAACAAUUUCUGAAAUUAUUGAAGCAAGGCUGGUAAAUAUUUUAUUUUUUUCAUUUUCCCAAUCGUUUUCAUUUUUUUUAUCAUACUAAUUCAAAUAUGAUUUCACUACAAUUUUAAUCAAAAUAGGCUGGAACGUGCGUGGUUGUUGCUAAAAUUGAAGCUAUUGAUUUGAAAAAACCAUGGUAUUACACUGCCUGCAAUUUUUGCAAAAGAAAAAUGGUCAGACAAGUAGAUGGUUUUGAGGGAAACGUGCAACAUCUUCAACAGAACCCUCUAUACAACUACAAAACAUGCAAAAAGGAUGUUCAACAUGCUAUUCAUUGGUAUGGCCUUUUAUAAACAUUAAUCUUGCUACCUUUCUAAUCUCAUAUUAUUAUAUGUUCUGAAACUAAUUAAAAUUGUUUAUUUUUUAGUUAUUACUUGGUUGUACGUAUCUCUGAUGAAUCAAAAGGAGAAGCCAAGUUUUUGCUUUUCAACAAUAUUGGAAAGAAGCUCAUUAGGAGACUUGCGUCUGAGUUAGUCCAAGAGGCUGCUCAGGUAUUUCCUUCAUUUCUAAUAUAUAUUAAAGAAUAUUUCAUUUCUAUAUAUUUUUGUAUAAUUAUUUAAAUUUUUUUACAGGAAAAUCAACAUUUUCUACCUCAAUCUCUAACUGAUUUAAUUGGGAGGAAACUUCUAUUUAAGAUCACUAUCGGAGAUUAUGGUCAAAAAGAACAAAAUUCAGCAUAUGUUGUUGAUUUAGUGAUUGAUGAUGCAGUCAUAAUUCAACACUUUGAUCCACAUCCACAUGUUGUGAUUUUUAAUGAUUAUGAGUCGGAAGAGGACUGAGUAUUUAAGCGGUUAUGGUAAUCCAAAAGAAAGGAAGAAAGUUGAAGUCCAUUAUGCACGUGAAAAUGGAAGAGUUUAAGAAAUGAUUUGUUUUCGUUUUCUUCAAAUUUCAUUAUUUUUUCCAUUGUCUCUGUUUUUGGUUUUAUAGUUAUGAGCAUGAAUUAUGAGCUGUUAUUUGAUUCUUUUUUUGUAAACAGCUCCUUUAAUCUAUUUUUGUUUCCACAUUAUAGCCAAUUUAUUCUUUAAAAUGUUAAAUUUGAAAACCAAUCACUAGAAAAUAGUAUAGAAUUAUAUAUCUAAGGUGUUCAAAUAAGGUUAACCUUAUAUGUUAAACUUCCAAAAAAUUCAUAAUAAAUCAUAAAACAAUGUAAAAGAAGAUAUUAUAGAAUUAUAUUGUCAUAAAGUGUUUUCCAAUAAAUAUCAUAUUUACUUGCGCAAGGAAUAGAUAGCAACAUGGUAAGAAUUUGAUAAGGAAAAUUUGUUUGGCAAGAAAGGAUUAUACGUAUAUUUUGAAGACAUUAAAAAAAACGUGCAGGUCAUGGAUCGAUCUCUAUUAUACUUUGACGAAGAUGUCGGUUUCUGAACUCUAAUCUUCACUUUAGCGUCUAAGCUUGGAUGUUCUGUUUUUUUUUAGGUGGUUUUUACUAUCAAUCCAUGCUAACAAUGUUGUGAAAGUAAUGUUGGAGUAUCAAUCUGUCAAUUUAAUAUUAUUUUCUGACUAUUUCGAUGACGGUAUGUCAAUUUAAUAUUAUUUUUUUUUCAAUAAAAUUUAGAAAUUUAGAAAUCUAUCAAAUAAUGUUAACCCGUCCAAUUGCUUACAAAAUUUAAGAAAUUUGUUUGCAGGUUUCUAAUGGAU